GACGAACGCUGGCGGCGUGCUUAACACAUGCAAGUCGAACGGAAAGGCCCUGCUUUUGUUGGGCGCUCGAGUGGCGAACGGGUGAGUAACACGUGAGUAACCUGCCCCUGACUUUGGGAUAACUUCAGGAAACUGGGGCUAAUACCGGAUAGGAGCUCCUGCAGCAUGGUGGGGGUUGGAAAGAUUCGGCGGUUGGGGAUCGACUCGCGGCUUAUCAGCCUGUUGGGGGGGUAGUGGCUUACCAAGGCUUUGAAGGGUAGCCGGCCUGAGAGGGUGACCGGCCACAUUGGGACUGAGAUACGGCGCAGACUCCUACGGGAGGCAGCAGUGGGGAGUAUUACACAAUGGGCGGAAGCCUGAUGCAGCAACGCCGCGUGCGGGAUGACGGCCUUCGGGUUGUAAACCGCUUUCGCAUGUAACGAGGCGUGAGUGACGGUAAUGGGUAAAGAAGCACCGGCUAACUACGUG
rnacentral:rRNA from 1 species